GCACCUUUCAGUUUAAACUUUAAUGUUUUUGCUUUACUCUCUACAAAUGCAUUCUGAUAAAUUUUUGUUUGCCUUUAAAGCAAAUGCAAUUUACUAAAAAAAAGAAUUAGUUUUUAGUUUUGGAGCUAUAUAUAUAUAUAUAGCAGCCAAAUAUUGCUUUUUAAUUUUAAGUAGUGAAAUGAACAACUUAGCAAACUAUUGUAUCAUACGUUAUAUUGUGUAAGUGAACCAAGUGCAGAUAGGUUUUAAUUGUAUGACACUAAAAAUUCACAUUAAAUUUACUUCAAAAAGAGGGAGGAAUUGGGAGGUGCUACUAAUUAAGUGGAUGAGGAUUGUUAUUUUUUAUUGCCUACCCUAGAAUAUAUGUUUCAACAUGCCUUGCAUUAAAGAUUUUGUAGUUUUAGUGGCCAUGUUACAAUACUAGGUGUUUUGAUUAAUUGCUGUGUAUACGUAGACAUAGCACUCAGAUUUUAGUUUCAGCCUCUUCGAUGGCAGUGUUAAUUCCUUAACAAGAAAUUAUAAACCAUGUCCUUAACGGGCUAAUUUCAUCUAUGAUCAAUGAACUUUUCUCUAAGUUCCAUUA
rnacentral:misc_RNA from 1 species